ACACACAGACACAGACAUACGCUUGCGCGCGCGCAAUGAAAUGGGUGUGUGCUCGUGUGUGACCGUUU
ensembl:ncRNA R13G10.5 ncRNA